ensembl:lncRNA
GGGAGACAGGUGAAGCAGACGCUGGGAAAAGAUGCCAUCGCAGAACAGAUAGGAAGGCUAUUGCCUGUGACCCCGAUGAACCACGGGUGAGAAGGCUGGGACUUGGAGACAUACUUCAGCAGAGCCCUAUUAACUAAAAAUAGAGUGUGAGCCGCGGUUUACCUGAGGCCAGCCUGCAUGUGACUUCUGGAUCCCUAUUUAUCAACAGGCUGUGACUGCGCGUCUGGAACAAGCCAGAUCUGUUCUUAUUUACCUGUCGGCCGGGAGAAAGCCCAUCUCACAGAGGGCCAUUGCUAGGUGCUGAACCAUGGUAACACCAAUAAUUAUCACAUCCUUAAGGCAGAGGGAUUUCCCCGGAUCAGAUCCGAGCCACAGUUGUGACCUACGCCACAGCUUCAGGAUCCUUAACCCACCGUUCCAGGCCAGGGAUCGAACAUGCGUCCCAGCGCUCCAGAGACACUGCCGAUCCCAUUCUGCCUGAACUCCAGAAGUCCGGGUCUUUAAACCUGGGUUGGCGUGGCUGUGUUAGGAGGCAGGAGGGAGCCACACCCAUGAAGCCUCAUUAAAUCAGAAGCAUCAGGUCUCCCCAGCGCUGUCCUGCACCUGGUCUGCGCUCACUGGUGCCCAGUGAUGACAGGAAACCGGGAAGCUCAUCAGAUGACCACCACGUGGACUCCGUAAGCCCUGAAGUGACACACCGCUCAUACCCUCCCUGAGGUCACUUCUAUUAAAAGCCGCUUGGUAUCAGAGUGAGUUCUAUCUUCGGACUUGGCAAGAUUUUCAAGCUCUUAAAAAGAUUUGCCAUUUAGGAAGGCCGGCGUCCAAAGACUGAGGCUUGAGAUGACCACCAAGACUGGAUCUGCUUUUCCCAGGGGCCUGCCGAGAGGAGAGCUCCCCUUUUUCCUUCCCUCUCCUUUCUCUCAUCCCUCUCUUUUUCCUUUUGGUUCAGCACCAUGUGGGCCUAGUGUGCUCAUUUAUUCAACAAUCUGCCUAAAUUUAACAUCAAAUGAUUAAUGAUUUCCCUGCCAAAGUUAAGGAGACAAUUGCACGCAAACCCCUCUGAUCUCAAUAGCAUAUUUAAAAGUCUAAUUUAACUGUGAUAGACUCGGCUUUUUGAUUCCUUUUGAUUGGCCUUAUCUUUUUUCAUCAAUUUAGGAGAUUUCUCAGCUGCCGUCUUUUCUGAUUCUUCCUGACUCUCAGUGACUGUGGGCACCGCGGGCUUCUUUGGAAGGGGGCACGGUAGGGAGAAGGUGAGAAUGUGCCCUUUCUGCUCCGGCCGGACCAGGAGGUCCGCACGACGGGUGCUGCUAAAAGCAGCCUCCUCAGCUGGCCUGUUCCUCUUCACGGGUCACGUCUGAGAAAUUCUUUCAACCCCCAUCUCCUGAUAGGGAGAGUGAAUUCCAAA